rnacentral:tmRNA from 1 species
GGGCUCGCCCUGGUUUCGACAGGGCAGUUGAAGAGGAUAGUGCAGGCAGUCGUGAUGACUUAAAAAAUCAAAAAACUUUAGUUGCCAACAAUAACAACUACGAACUCGCCUUAGCUGCUUGAUCGGGAGGCUGAUUAGGGCCUUCUAUCCAAUCUAAUCAAAACAACAGAUAAGUUGUAAAAAUCAAAAAAGAACCUGCUUUUUGAUUGCAGUGAAAUCAAAUAUGUUUUGUUAGUUUACGAGAAAAGCUAACCAAGCCUGUGGAUGACUUGAACUGAAUGCUGCUUUGGACGCGGGUUCGAUUCCCGCCGGGUCCAUUC